CAAUAGGCCCGAACCUGCGGGGUCGGGGUCGGGAUCGGAAGCGCUCCGCCGAGGCCCGAGCGGGCUCGCGAGGGAACCGGUUCGGCGGGUGUGGCCGGUGCUCCCCGAAGGACACCAGCCCGAUGGAGAUGGUCUGCAGGAAUGGCCGGAUGGCAGGUGUGAACUGUGCAGAGAGAGACGUGCUGUCACCUACCCACCCACCCAGGAGAGGGACAGGGAUGCAUGGGGGAGACACGUUCAUUCAGUAAACAUUUCGCGAGCUCCUACCGAGGGCCCGGCGUGGCUCUAGGCACCUUCAUGGACCUGACGUUCUCGAAGGGAAGAGAGAUUAUCAGCAAAUAAACAAGGCCAUAUGCAAUGUCA